ensembl:lncRNA
AUGGACAGGUCCCACAAAUAUGAGAGUCAUACUCAAUGUUUGGGUGUUUUAAUUAUUCCUGUAACCCACCUUGAGGAGAAGCAGGAGCAACGGGAGGUACUUCUGGAGUUAGAGAAUUGGCCAUCUGCAAGGACGUUGCCCAGGGGACACCCGGAUGUUUUGAUGUUUUACCAUCUUUGUGGGAAGCUUCUCUCAUGUCCCUGCAUGGAGCUGGAGCUGAUAGAGGGAGCUCAUCUGCGCUCUCCCCGGGUGGGAUUCGAACCUGGCAGCUUUCAGGUCAGCAACCCAACCUUGAAGUCACAAGGCUUUUAUCCCCUAGGCCACUGGAGGCUCCAACAUGUUAUCACUAAUACAAAUUCAGGAACUGGUUCUCUUCUGUAUCUCUUCUGCUUCUCAACAUCUAAUAUGAAUUGAACAGUCUCUGAUGGCUCCUCGUGGUUUGUGUUUUGCCACCUCUCUUGCUCCAUUACUAGAAAAAUAAAGAGUCCAAUGACAUCAUGGGUCGACUCCAUCUCUACAUUUCAUAUAAUGUCUAUUUUGUCCCCUUAGGUCAUACUGCUGGGUGCCGCUGGCUUUAUUAUGAAACUCAAUCACCCAUGCAUUCAUAACCUUCAGUGGCUCUCAUUCAUAAGUUGGCACCACGGUGCGAUAACACUCCUGAGCAGAGGUUGGUUGUAUUAAGGGAAACCGGCCAUCAAGAUUUUCGUUGCGGAAAAUGCCAAGCGAAGGUUGUUAUUAUGAAGCCAUGAUUUCAUUUUACCUCUGCCCAGAGCCGUUAUUUUUAACUGGUCCAUUGCACACCAUACCUUUGAUUUAAAAAACGCAUUAUUAUUUUUCUCCUUUUCCUUUUUCUCAAAAUUGGCCCUGUAAACAUUGCUUUCCUAAUGGAAAAGUAGAAUUGGUCAGCCAGGCCAAGCUGCAGAGGUUAUUGCUAUUAAAUGGCUAAUUCUUGCCCACUAGACUAAUAAUUUAACCAUGCUAAUAAUAUCAGCCAGUGCCUAUGUCAAAUCCAUUGUUACACAAUGUGACCAAAUCCAUUACCACACACAUGGAAAUCAAUUACCGCACAUUAGGGAGCGCUUAACAAUUUACCGCAGCCUUUGCCGCAGAGCAUUGUGUGCAUGGGGAGGAGGGAUGAAUCAUUAUCUGCCAUGCUGGAAAUAGAUCCCCCUCCUUCUCCUGUAACAAAAGCACACAGGUGCAUAGCAUAGCACAUGCAGACUGGUAAUGGCUUGAUGUAGGUAAACAAGGCAUUUUAGGUGUUGGAAAUAUACUGUUUACAAGAAAGCAGCAUACCGAAGGUGGGAGAAAGAUGCAUUGCUAUUGAGAAAAAUUGCUCCUUUUGUUGGGCUAUAAAUAUGUUCUCUCUCCUUCAGUAACAAUAAAAAGGAAGGGAGGUGGGGAAAGGGGGGAAAACUAAGCUAUCAUGCACACUUAAGGAAGCUGCAUUUAACAUGCGUUUGAUGGAGAAUGCAUACAUACCGCUAUCAAGUGACAAUAUUGUUAAUGUCUUGUUGUGCUUACACAUUUCAGAGGAAUAUCACACUUUCUGACAUUUAACAGAUGGCAACUAGGACAUAUACAGCCAGGUGACAUCAGAGUGGUCAAGAUGUUAAAGGUUAUUAAUGAGGAAGAACAGACAAGAUAGGCAACAUGCAGCAGUUUGCUUCUGCCUGAAUCUAUAUAAUCAUAAUAAUAAUUUUGUGUUGUCAAAGGCUUUCAUGGCCGGGAUCACAGGGUUGUUGUAUGUCUUUCGGGCUGUGUGGCCAUGUUCCAGAAGUUGCCAUCAUGUCAUCAUGGAGGAGCUGCAGGAUGUUUACAAAUUUGUCAGGGCACCCGAUUUUUUGGAGGAUAGUCCAGAGAGCGCUGCGAUUCACUGUGUUGAAUGCCUUUGCAAGGUCAAUGAAUGCCAUGUACAGAGGUUGGUUUUGUUCCCUGCAUUUUUCUUGGAGCUGUCGAGCAGUGAAGAUCAUGUCCACUGUUCCUCUGGAAGGACGGAAGCCGUUCUGGGAUUCUGGGAGGGUGUCUUCUGAGACAGGGAGAAGGUGGUUGCAAGGAUUCUUGCGAGGAUUUUCCUAGCGGAAGAUAGAAGGGAGAUACCGCGAUAGUUCCCGCAGUCUGUUCUGUCCCCUUUCUUGAAAAGGGUGAUGAUGGUGGCAUCCUUGAAGUCAGCUGGGAUUUUCUCGGUCACCCACACCUUUUCAAUGAGCUGGUGGAGUUGUUGUAUCAGCUCAGGUACACCCGUUUUGAAGAUUUCAGCAGGGAUCCCAUCAGGUCCGCUGGCUUUGUUGUUUUUUUGUUGGCUGAUGGCAUUGCUAACUUCUUCCAAACUAGGCAGUGCUGCAAGCUCAUCCCUGGUUUGUUGUUGCGGGAUUUGUGAGAGGGUCUCUUCGGACACAUUGGAGCUGCAAUUCAGCUCCAUGGCAUACAGCCUCUACGCUCAUCAGAUGGAACCAAAAUUCUGAAGGACAAAACAUCAAUUGCACUACGUUGGAAAGAGCACUAACAGUUCCAGAAGUAUUCUCUCCUGACGUUUCACCCACAUCUAUGGCAGGCAUCCUCAGAGGUUGUGAGGCAUGGAUAAACUAGGCAAGGAAGGUAAAUAUAUAUCUGUGGAGAGUCCAGGGUGUGACAAGAGUCCUUUGUCACACCCUGGACAAAUCUGCUACCAGUAUUAAAAAAACUCAAAAAUCAGAACAGUAGGUGGGAAGCAACACUCUGAGGGCAGAGGAGCCCCAAGGACGGCUAAUGACUCUGAACAAAGGAUGCCCCCCAGGCAAGAGACAAACCUUUCCAAUGCUAAUUAGGGUGAUUAACUGAAACAUUAGAGCUGGCUUCCAACUGACAAAGGAUCCU